AUACUCGUAGAUUCCGGAAAGUCACAUAGGUAACUCGAGAGAUACAUCCUUUGAGCAGUUGAUAAUUCAGCAGACAAACGGACGUGGAGUAGAUGUAGUUCUGAACAGUUUGGCUGAAGAGAAAAUGCAAGCUUCAGUACGUUGCUUGGCUUACGACGGGCACUUUUUAGAGAUAGGGAAAUACGAUAUGCUCGAAAGACACGAUUUAAGUUUGGGACAUUUCGUGAACAACAUCUCAUUUCAUAGCAUACAGUUGGACCUGAUAAUGCGAACUAACAGAUAUCUCACACUUGCAAUCAAAGAAAAGGUUACAGAAUUUCUCAAUCAAGGAAUCAUAAAACCAAUACAGAGGACAGUUUUCCAAGCUGAUGAAAUAGAGUCAGCUUUCAGAUUUAUGGCAACUGGGAAGCAUACUGGAAAAGUUCUAAUAAAAAUUAAUGAUGAAGAAAAUGACCAGAAAGGCAAACCUAUUCCAAUAGCUAGGAAAUGUAAGCCUCAAGUUCACUGCUCGAAGUAUAGCUCAUACGUUA